UGAUUGCAUGAUUCUUUGGAUACAUUUGGAUACGUUAGGUUUACAUUCAGAAAAGUGAAUUGUAUUUUUGUUGUAGAAUCUUAGUUUCCACUACCUGUGUAACAUGUUUGAGGUGAAUAGAAGUUCUAAGAUGAAUUUUCUGGAAGUGUUGUUUCAAAGGUUUUUUUUUUUAUUUCUUUUUUUGACAGUUGAUAAUUCUUAUUGUGUUUGAAAACUUCAUUUACUUUGGCCAUCUUUUUAAAUUUUCUGCAAUGAAAAUGCUUCCAUCUAUGAGGAAGGAGAAAGAACAGAGGAAGAUGGAAUAUGAGACUGCAACAAGCAAGAGAUGGUGUAAAGAAGAUGCCUCCGAGAAGUGUGUUGAAUGGAAUGUUAGUGGAUAAAGUUCCUGUUGUACUUAGAGAUUCAAACAUGCAUGAAAAGAGGUUGAUUCGAAACAAUAAAGUCAUUUCAGACAUUUGUCCGUUUGCAGACAACAACGCGGGCUGGAAUCUUGGACCACCAGAUCAUUCAUCAGAGGCUUAAAAACAGACAUCAACAGCCCUGCUGUUGUCAUCCUAGAGGUAUCAUUAUAAAAUGACUUACCCCCAAAAGCCGACCUAAACUUGGUAGCUCCAGCUUCUGGCGAUCCAUCUGCAUAUAGGCUCAGUAUCCUGCAGUGGUUCAGCCCAGAAGCAGUUCUCCCUGGCUUUCCAUGAGGGAACUCUGGAAAGUUAAUGCAGCCUAUGUAUAGCUAUAUUACAUAUCAGCCCUGAAGUUUUCACCACCUGGUCCCAUUUCUGGCCAACUGCCUCCUGCCCUGGGCCACUCCAACUCAACACUAUAUCCUGUGCCUACUCACUGGAUUAAGUUCAGAUUCCCACUCAGGGCCCAGAGAUGAUGGCAUAAAUAGGCACUCAAAACCCUUUUCCUGAACAAAGGGCUCAUGGAGGGGUCCUCAGUAAACAGAUGUCAGUGGAUAUGUUCUUUAUUAUCCAAAGUUUAUUUAUGUAAUUUAUUAUCCAAAGUUUACUGCAAUUAAAUAGAACCUCAUGUAUCUGCAAAAUUUGUGGGUAGUCUUUCAAGGACAGGUAUUUGCAUGGUUUCUGUGCCUUCCUACUUGGGAAUCAGGCUAGAAGUUUAGUAAUACUGGCCUUUGUUGCAUGUUGGUGCUUCUGUUUAUAGUUCCAGGUUGAAUCUGGAAAUGUGAAAGGUGCCAGAAAAUGGGGAGGGAGGAGGGGAGAGGAAAAAUAUCUAAAAACAAAUCAGUUUAGGAAAACUUCCAGGCAAUAAGGAAUUUCCCUAUUUAGCUCCCUAACAAA